GAAAUGCGAUAAGUAACGUGAAUUGCAGAAUUCAGUGAAUCAUCGAAUCUUUGAACGCACAUUGCGCCCGCCAGCACUCUGGCGGGCAUGCCUGUUCGAGCGUCAUUUCAACCCUCAGAACCCCUUGCGGGAUCUGGCGUUGGGGAUUGGCAUCCAGCCAGCCCCGAAAUCUAGUGGCGGUCCCUCCGCGACCUCCCCUGUGCAGUAGCGAUACCUCGCAGCGGGACAGCGGUCUGACCACGCCGUAAAACCCCCAACUUCUCAAGGUUGACCUCGAAUCAGGUAGGAAUACCCGCUGAACUUAAGC
rnacentral:misc_RNA from 1 species